rnacentral:lncRNA from 1 species
UUUAUUGUAGACGCCUUAUAUGUGUAGACAUAUGGCGGGUCUGGGCACGCAACCGGGAGGGCCUCCGCCGGUCCCGGGGCGUGACAGCUCCCCACCCGGAAGCUUUGUUUUUAAAACUCUAAUUCAAACAUUCACGAAAACCAUGCAAAAACUAUUUUAAAACUGUUUCCCAUAUGAAAACUCUAUUUUGAAAAUCGACUACCUCGAGGGGUAGAAAACCACGAUGCGGAAAUCCAUAAAUACGAGAACCAAAAACCACAGAUCUGAAAACUCCAAUCUCAUGCAUCAUAGUAAAUCAUCCACUAAAACCAAUUCACGAAUAUUCAAACAUCAAUACGAUCAUCUAACUGAACCAUUUAUUAUUAAAACUACUAAGUGCCUGUAAGGAA